UUGGUGUAUAGAACCAAGCUAACCAAGUUGUUUAUAACUCUCCCUUUCGUCCUCUAACUAAUCCAAAACAAUGUGUUUGUUUCCUCAGUGAUCAUCACCACUUUCAGAAAGAACAACAAGUACUUAACCUGAAUGCUCACGAUGGCUUUGGGGCUGUGUUCUGGAAUGGUGGUGUUGUUGGUGACCAAGUUUCAUAGUGCUGAGAUUUUAAUAUUCAGUGAAGACUUGUUCUUUCUUUACUUGCUUCCCCCAAUCACUUUCAAUGCCGGUUCCAAGUCAAGAAGAAACAGUUCUUCAAGAAUUUCACAACUAUACUGCUCUUUGGAGUCGUUGGAACAGUUGUUUCAUUCUGUCUGAUAUCUGUUGGUGCCCUUCUGCUUAUUCAGAGGAUUGGCAUAUCUAACCUUGACAUAAAAGAUUACCUAGGUGAGAAAUAGUUUUUGGUUUACAGAAAUCUCACUCUCUGUCUCUUAAUCUAAUCAUCACUUUUCCUUCUACAUGUGAAGCAAUCGGUGUCAUAUUGUCAGCAACGGACUCAGUUUGUACACUGCAGGUGCAAGUAUACAAAUAUGUAUUUCAAAUUUACUAUACCAGAGAA